UAAGAGGAGAAACUAAGGCAAAAACUAAAGAGAGUUUCGGCCAAAGAGGAGAAAAAUUUUUCCUUGAAAUUUCAUCCCAAAAAUUAUAAUUUCUUGGUAUUUCCACUAAAUCAAGGGUCCUCUAUGACAUGGUAAAUUUAUUUUGGAAGAUAGAAGGCUUGUUUGGUUGAUUUGGAGCUUUGAUUAAGUGAAGAAGUUAGAAGGAAAAGAUUUUGGAGGAAACGGGAGUUAAAUUUGGACAAACGUGAAAAGCCGAUAAGGUGGGAGUAAUCUUCGAGCUGGACAAGAAGAGAGAAGCGAGGCCGAGAUGGUUCGCACAUGUGAAAAAGAGGAGAUAGAUGCUCCAGUGAGGAGGUGUGAGAGGCUGGCGGUGAUAGAUUUUAGAGGUAGAGGCAGACAGAGAAGAAAAUGGGAGAGGUGAUUCGGCAGGACAUGGCGCACCUUCAACUUACCGAGGAUAUGAUCUUAGAUACGAGAGCAUAGAGGUUGAGGAUUACGAUAAACAUUCAAUAGUCAAGCAUUUUCACUCUUCCCAGAGGUAGAGCAGAGUCUAGUCUAGAGCACUCAUCCGUUCUUACCAGUAUUAGUCCUAUUAUGCUAGCAUUAUCCCAUUCUUCAAUUGUAUUACUACUUUUGGUUUUUACCUUGGUUAUCUUUAC